GAUGAACGCUAGCGGCAGGCUUAACACAUGCAAGUCGAGGGGUAUAGUUCUUCGGAAUUAGAGACCGGCGCACGGGUGCGUAACGCGUAUGCAAUCUACCUUUCACAGAGGGAUAGCCCAGAGAAAUUUGGAUUAAUACCUCAUAGUAUAGCAGUUUCGCAUGAAACCACUAUUAAAGUCACAACGGUGAAAGAUGAGCAUGCGUCCCAUUAGCUAGUUGGUAAGGUAACGGCUUACCAAGGCAACGAUGGGUAGGGGUCCUGAGAGGGAGAUCCCCCCACACUGGUACUGAGACACGGACCAGACUCCUACGGGAGGCAGCAGUGAGGAAUAUUGGACAAUGGGCGCAAGCCUGAUCCAGCCAUGCCGCGUG
rnacentral:rRNA from 1 species